rnacentral:rRNA from 1 species
UACAGAGGGGGCAAGCGUUAUUCGGAAUUAUUGGGCGUAAAGGGCGCGUAGGCGGCUUGGCAAGUGGAUGGUGAAAUCCCUCGGCUUAACCGAGGAACUGCCAUCCAGACUGCCUUGCUUGAGGCCGGGAGAGGUAAGUGGAAUUCCCAGUGUAGCGGUGAAAUGCGUAGAUAUUGGGAGGAACACCAGUGGCGAAGGCGGCUUACUGGACCGGUUCUGACGCUGAGGCGCGAAAGCGUGGGGAGCAAACGGG